UUUAAAAAAUGUUAUUUUAAAAUUAUUUUAGUUACAAAAUACAGUAAUUGUUAACCAAACUUUUUGCAAUGUGAAUUUUUCUUUGAGUAAUUUCAUCGCGUGUCCCUACAUUUUGCUCUCUGCUACGCUGUUUUUGUUUGCGGAUCAAAAAUCUUUGCUUUUGAGUCAAAAAGUUUUGGAUGCAAGUUACACGCGUCUCAGUGGGCGGGAUCAACCUAGUUGAAUGAAAGACCCAUUUCUAUUGGCCACUACUGUCACCAUUUGGCCACGCCCACCACGGAAGUCUGCCACCGAGGAGAGCGAUGAUGUGCUAUGGAGAGCGGCAUUGUUUGUAAGAUGAUUCUUCACUAGAGGUUACAUUGAAGUCAGGCAAUGACAGGAAGGAUGGCUGGGGAUUCCAAGAUCUGAUAAAAAAAAGUUACAUGAAGAUACUUGGACUACUCAUGGGACCAAAGAGCUAUUACACCAACUCCAGUCUGGAACCUGUCUCUAUCAGAUGACCCUACACAUAAGGAAAGUUGACAUCGGCCCUCACGAGGACUUCAAAACUGUUCAAAGCGCUAUACAAAUAAAUG